rnacentral:lncRNA from 1 species
UUUGCGCAACUAAAUUGGCAUUGAGCUUAGUCUUGAUGUUCUUUUCUGUAACUGCGAUUCGUUUUGAGUCGUAAAGUAAGCGCCCUAAGCAUCCCCAAGGGCUGAACCUUUUCACUUGCAUUCUCUUUAACUCAGAACUGCAGGUUGAUUGCCUAAAAUAAAAUUGCCUGCUGGACAACCUGUCGCAUGGCCGUUUGGUUAUGUCCAGUUUGUUCCAAAUCAGGUCUUCGAUAAUUUUCUUGACAGCUCAAGUACUGCGCUGGUCCGGUUUUAACGGGUGGGAAUGUGGCUGUGCAGCGUCAAGUACCCGCGGCCCCCCUCUUCGUCCGAGCGGAUGGGAAUGUGGCUGUGCAGCGUCAAGUACCCGCGGCCCCCCUCUUCGUCCGAGCGGAAUUCCUUCUUUUCCUCUUCCCCUCAACUCUAUUGAAGGUUAAGAAGAUCGCACUGCUAUCGUUGGUUGCCGUCUGUAGGACGGAAAAGACCCUCCACAAAAAAUGGCCACCUCCCCGGGUCAUGGUUGGCUCUAAAGCGCAGGUACCUCACAGGCCAGAUACAAGCUAGUAGCACCAACGUGCCGCCAAAAGCCAGGUGGAGUAACAUACAUGGUCACAUCAUGGCCUUGUGGGACCUAACACUAGAUCGGACGAAGUGUUGUACGAAGUGUUAUCGCAGAUGUGGUGCACUUCACCAUUCCGCCGCGGUCCGGGCCACGCGAUAUCUAUGGUGAUGUCAUGAAGCUUUAAGCUGUACAAAAUACAUGAUUUCAGCCGCGUGUGAGUAUCACUGCAUACAGCCCAACUGCUUUCCACCCACUAAACAAGCCCAACUGUUCCCAAAUCACAAAACAACCUCAAGUGUUGUACUUUUACGGCGCCCUAAGUGGGCUAGGAAAAGUGAAGAAAUGAACAUGGGUCUGGACGACGCGUACAUACUGUUGGAUUGCCACCGCUGUGAAAUAACGUACGGUACACGCAUGGCCAUGGCAUGCAUAUGCCUGCAUGUGAAUCAUGUAACGCAGGCCUGUCAUUAAGUGCCAUGCAAGCGACGCAUUGCUUGGCAUGUGGCUACCUUCACAUGUUGAGCGGCCGGUAAACAGCAAACACCCCAGGAUUACAUGUUUCGUUCACAUGAAGGAUUUACGAUAGUUGCUGAAGUAAUGAGGGGUAGUGACUAUACAGGGCAUCCAUAAGGAAACCCCGGAAAUGCCGGCCUUGACGACCAGGGCAGACGGACAGGGUCCGCUGGACAGGUAGCCAUUCAGCACAUUCCGGGGGUCCCACUCCAGCUUAUGUGGGAAGUCUGCCAUCUAAGCAUGCCGAGUUGCUCACAUCACAAAAGUGAACGUUCCUCCUGACAUCCAUGCCUGUAGUACAAUGCUCAGCGCCGAGCGCAUCCCGCCGCACCAUCCGGCCGCUAUGUUCGUAUACAGAUGUGUGUUACAUGGUUGGGGGUGCGUGACCCCAUACCUGUAAAACUACCCAUACGAGCCGAAGGCCCAAGGGCAAUACUUCAACGCCUAAAAGCCACGGGGAACAGGAAACACCGCACAUCAGCCCAGAUUUCUAGCGUCCAAAAGGGGUAACUGAGUUUCGGUGAGCCCACAUACGUUAUGACAUCCUCGUAUACAUAUGUGGCACGCCAAGUUCUGCGACAGGAGAUCGCAGAGGCCCUCUCCAAUCCCGAAGCGGGCGGAUGGGGGCCACUAGUCCUCCGUUUUCUGAGCUUUCUGGGGCAGGAUGUACGGAAAGAGGCCCCGUAAGGGCUACAUGAGGCAGAUGAACGAGUGGAAGGGCUAAGGAACAGGCUGUUGCCAGAAGGUGUGGUAUUGAAGUUCAACGAUCGGUUGAUGAGUGGUUGGAAGCAUACGCGUCUAGAUGUCCAGCCAGACGUGUACCCGUCAGAUUUAAAGCAACCAGAAAUUCACAUGGCGCAGUAUAUGCAUU